GAAAGAGGAAGCCCAUUCCUCCCCAGUCCUGCCCAGACACACAAGAAGGAAGAUAUUACCUACCCUGCCAAAAAAGAAUUCAAAGCAGCCACCGAGUAGAUCCGCUCCUGUCUUCACCAUGUUCAGAUCUUGUUUCUCAAGCCCUGGGACCCACUGGCAAGACAUAAGGAUGGAGAGAUGGAGAGGCAUUCAUGAGACAGCUGGAACCUCACACAUUAACUCUAUCAUUGACCACAUAAAGGAACGACUGCCAUUUCAAGGGGGAUGGAGGGCCUGCCAUGCCAAUCAUUGUGCUGGGAUCUGAGAAAUAAAUUCAAGUCCUUGCUUGUAUAUCACUGGGAAGACAUGGAUCUUGAGCACAGAUGAAAUGCCUUCUGAAGCUCCAAUAAGGAACAGAUGAAACGGGGACUCAGACUCAGACAGUAUAUGGUCUAUAUUUGGUCUCUAAUUUAACACUAAAGGGGCGGUUGCCAAAUGAAUAAGAGGAUAAAGCAAUGGCAGCAUGAA